rnacentral:rRNA from 1 species
AGCAGCCGCGGUAAUUCCAGCUCCAAUAGCGUAUAUUAAAGUUGUUGCAGUUAAAAAGCUCGUAGUUGAAUUUCGGGGUUAGUAGGUUGGUCAUGCCUCUGGUAUGUACUGGUCUCACUGAUUCCUCCUUCCUGAUGAGCCGUAAUGCCAUUAAUUUGGUGUUGCGGGGAAUUUGGACUGUUACUUUGAAAAAUUAGAGUGUUUAAAGCAAGCUAACGCUUGAAUACAUUAGCAUGGAAUAAUGAAAUAGGACGUUCGAUCCUAUUUUGUUGGUUUCUAGGAUUGACGUAAUGAUUAAUAGGGAUAGUUGGGGGCAUUAGUAUUCAAUUGUCAGAGGUGAAAUUCUUGGAUUUAUUGAAGACUAACUACUGCGAAAGCAUUUGCCAAGGAUGUUUUCAUUAAUCAAGAACGAAAGUUAGGGGAUCGAAGACGAUCAGAUACCGUCGUAGUCUUAACCAUAAACUAUAGCCGACUAGGGAUCGGAUGAUGUUAAUUUUUAAUGUACUCAUUCGGCGCCUUA